rnacentral:rRNA from 16 species
GGAUGCGAUCAUACCAGCACUAAAGCACCGGAUCCCAUCAUAACUCUGAAAUUAAGCGUGCUUGGGCGAGAGUAGUACUAGGAUGAGUGACCUCCUAGGAAGUCCUCGUGUUGCAUUCC